rnacentral:lncRNA from 1 species
UAUGUUAUGUUGCAUUGUUGGUUCAUGUAUAUGUUGUUAGGACUGGUUUUGGGAUUCUUUGGCAGGUGAAUAGGCCCAAUUAUAGGGGACACUCUAGCGAAAUGAUUGGAAAUUUUGGGAGUUAGUCAAAAUUUGGGAAUUGUUGGUGUGUGUAAUUGCAGCUGAGUCACAUUGGUUUCUAAUGGCGGAUUUGGACCCUCAUUCGAGGACGAAUGAUCUUAAGUGGGGGAGGAUGUAAGGGCCCGUACAAUUUCACCUAAAACCUGGGGUUUCGUGAUGCCAAGAUAGACAUAUGUGUUGAUGAUUAUAGAGAUUCUUUGUGGCGAGCUUGAUAGGCAAGUUUAAAAGUUGAGGAACAUAGAAAUGGCCUUCGUGAAAGUGUUAUGGUGAAGCCAACAAGUCGAAGAAGCCACCUGGAAAGCCGGGGAAGAGAUGAAGAAGAAGCACCCUCAUUUGUUUGAAUAGCUAUGUAAUCGAUUCUAAGAAAUUGUUCCUUGUGAAUUACGUAUCAUUUGUACAGUUGAUGUUAAGGGUGUUCCUUUUUUGUUAAUAUAAUGCUCGUGAGGCCAUGGUUGGCAUUGUUUUUAUGUUAUGUUGCAUCGUUGGUUCAUGUAUAUGUUGUUAGGACUGGUUUUGGGAUUCUUUGGCAUGAGAAUAGGCCCAAUUACAGGGGAGACUCUAGCGAAAUGAUUGGAAAUUUUGGGAGUUAGUCAAAAUUUGGGAAUUGUUGGUGUGUGUAAUUGUAGCUGAGUCACAUUGGUUUCUAAUGGCGGAUUUGGACCCUUAUUCGAGGACGAAUGAUCUUAAGUGCGGGAGGACGUAUGGGCCCGUACAAUUUCACCUAAAAACCGGGUUUUCGUGAAGCCAAGAUUGACUUAUUUGUUGAUAAUUGUAGAGAUUCUUUGCGGCGAGCUAGAUAGGCAAGUUCGAAAGUUGAGGAACAAAGAAAUUUCCUUGGUGAAAGUGUUAUGGCGAAGCCAACAAGUCGAAGAGGCCACCUGGGAAGCCGGGGAAGAGAUGAAGAAGAAGUACCCUCAUUUUUUUGAAUAGCUAUGUAAUUGAUUAUAUGAAAUUGUUCAUUGUGAAUUACGUAUCAUUUGUACAAUUGAUGUUAAAGGUGUUCCUUUUUGGUAAUAUACUGCUCGUGAGGCCACGGUUGGCAUUGUUUUUAUGUUAUGUUGCAUCGUUGGUUCAUGUAUAUUUUGUUAGGACUAGUUUUGGGAUUCUCUGGCACGUGAAUAGGUCCAAUUACAGGGGAGACUCUGGCGAAAUGAUCGGAAAUUUUGGGAGUUAAUCAAAAUUUAGGAAUUGUUGGCAUGUGUAAUUGCAGCUGAGUCACAUUGGUUUCUAAUUGCGGAUUUUGACCCUCGUUCGAGGACGAAUGAUCUUAAGUGGGGGAGAAUGUAAGGGCCCGUACAAUUUAACCUAAAACCCGGGGUUUCAUGAUGCCAAGAUAGACUUAUGUGUUGAUGAUUGUAGAGAUUCUUCGCAGCUAGCUUGAUAGGCAAGUUCGAAAGUUGAGGAAAAAAGAAAUUGCCUUCGUGAAAGUGUUAUGGCGAAGCCAACAAGUCGAAGAGGCCACCGGGGAAGCCGGGGAAGAGAUGAAGAAGAAGUACC